UAAUUGUAUGUUUUAGGGUACUGUAUUCCUGUGUUUGGAACAUUAAUGGAUUGCACUACUGAAGAACAUCUAAAUACUGAAACCAGGCUGAAAAACAGUUAGAAGCCACAAAGGAUUGAUUUAUGAGAAAAGAUGAUCACCGUGGUAUUUGCUAUUAUGAGGAUUGCAGUUAGAUGAUGCUGUGAAACAGAUUCAAUGCUGGAAAUCCUCCUGGUUAUCUGUUCCAAUUCUGGAAGAUGCCGGCCACCAGGAAUGAGUGUCACCAAGGAGUAGAGCAUGAAAAUGGCUGCAAAGGUAUAGGAUUCCAGCACCACUUUCAGAGAACCAUACAAUUGCCUUUAUU
rnacentral:lncRNA from 1 species